UACGGGGGGGGCAAGCGUUGUUCGGAAUUACUGGGCGUAAAGGGCUCGUAGGUGGCCAACUAGGUCAGACGUGAAAUCCCUCGGCUUAACCGGGGAACUGCGUCUGAUACUGGAUGGCUUGAGAUUGGGAGAGGGAUGCGGAAUUCCAGGUGUAGCGGUGAAAUGCGUAGAUAUCUGGAGGAACACCGGUGGCGAAGGCGGCAUCCUGGACCAACACUGACACUGAGGAGCGAAAGCCAGGGGAGCAAACGGG
rnacentral:rRNA from 1 species